UACGAAGGGUGCAAGCGUUACUCGGAAUUACUGGGCGUAAAGGGUGCGUAGGUGGUCGUUUAAGUCCGUUGUGAAAUCCCUGGGCUCAACCUGGGAAUGGCAGUGGAUACUGGACGGCUAGAAUGCGGUAGAGGGUAGUGGAAUUCCCGGUGUAGCAGUGAAAUGCGUAGAUAUCGUAAGGAAGACCAGUGGCGAAGGCGAAUCUCUGGACAGUUACUGACACUGAGGCACGAAGGCCAGGGGAGCAAACGGG
rnacentral:rRNA from 1 species